AGUGUGGGGACUCUAAUAAAUAAUUUCAGUACAAGGUACAUUGGUGGACACGUGCAACUGCCAUUCCUUUUCCUUGUAGUACUACGAGAGAGUUAAAGAGCCUAAGCUGAGUUAAAGAGAGCCGUGCCUGCUGCAGGGGAUGCUAACCCGGGGGCUGUCCGUGGGCUGUUUGUGUUGCAGAUCCCUUCUGGCUGCCGGCGGGCAGCCGUGCCCCGUCCCGCCUGCCGUCCCCGGCGCCGUCGGUGGCCGGCUCGGUCACCUCCAGCUCGGGGUCGCUGCGCGUCCGCCGGCCGCUCAUCAGCCCCGCGCGCCUCAACCUGCAGGGCCAGAAGCUGCUGCUGUUCCCUCAGAGCGAGGCCCUGCUCAGCCCGGGCGGCUCCGAGGAGCAAACCCACUCCGACAGCAACGCCUGUGCCCCCGAGCUGCCCGGCUGCCCCAGCAAGAGCCUCGGCGUGCCCGAUAUGAGAUCUGCUGUGGAAGGGGGGAGUAUUUGCAGUGAUAAUUCCAUCAAAAAGGAGGAUCACUCAUCGAACUCAUCUACCUGUGUGGUAGACACAACUACCAAAGGGGAUGAUUUGGCAGGCUGGAGAGGUGAGUACAAAUCUGGUGACUGCUUUGUGCACCUGUGAGCAUUUCUGUGAGGAGAGCUGAGAUCUUUCCUGGAAACCAAGUAAGUAGAUGCUAAAUGGACCUUCAGCCCGCUAUUCUAAGAUCUUAACAAGGCUUUUCCUGUUCUUUGGACUGUCUGAAGAACACUGUCAAAGUGCUAAACUGAGACAGAAGAAGAAGGGUGGGGAUACAGGUGUCAACAGCAUCAGAUAAGACUACAAUAGAGCCAAAAGAGAGCAAUGGAGUCUUUCCUGAAAGAAAAAGUGCUUCAGCAAUUUCUGCUUGUGCUGAAACACUGGCCAGAGAGAAACAGUACAACAUAUGUUCACUUUUACUUAUCAGUUCUUUAACACCUCUUUCUACAAUUCCCUUUUCUCCUCUGUGUUCUGCCAAGGUCGCUUUGGUACCUCUGCUCUCCGGGGCCUGCUGGCCGUGAGCCUGACCCUCAACGCUGUCUUCACAUCAGCCUACGUCUACAGGAGCCUGCGCUGACUUGUGCCAACACUCCCUGUCUCUCUGGUUCCACCUGGUCCUGAGGAGACACCAACAACUCCACCACGGCUUCACGGCCAAGGCCACGCCACCGGUGCAUGCUGUUCAUCAAAAAGCUACUGUACACUCAGCUGGCAUGAGAAGGAACCUGGGCAGCUGCUGCCAUCACUUCCAGGUAGAACAUAUCCCAGGACUGUUCCUGGAGAUGGCAGGCAGAAUUCCCAGCUCCAGCUCAAAGCAGGAGGCCACUCCAAUGGCCCACACACUUUCUUUCAAAAGAACUGAACUGAGACACCUGAAAAUGUGUGAGCUGCAUUUUUAGGAACCUACCCCAUGCUCUUCUUUUUGACAUACUGACCUCGUGCUGAUGGUGCUGGUAAAAUGGGGAGAAUUAGAACAAAUGAGCUGAAGAAGAGGGAUGGCUUAGUAGCUGGUGCUGGGCUUUGGCAACUGUAACAGCACCCCCAGGCUCUGCUCAGUGGUUCCUCUUCUCUCUUCUCUCUGGCAUUCUCCUCUAAAUUGUCAGUGAACUUUCUUUAGUUGCCUUAAGCUUGCCUAAGCACAUGGGUGACCUUGGCUGCUCUGUCAUGUUCUUGCAUCUUAGAUGUCCUUGUGCUUCCAGCUGGACCUGGCCCUGAGGCCACUUUUACCAGUUCCAUCCUGGCCAUGCUGGUUCUCAGCCCGCAGUGUGUGCCUGUGUCCAGCCCUCUCUGUGGCUGCAGGGCUGCACAGCCCCCAGACAGACACCUGUGCUGGCUGCAGCAGAACCUGGAAGCCCAAGCCUUGCUUUGCCCAGGAGGCAUGAACUGUGCUACUCUAAAGUGGGUAAAAAGAAAGGAUCCUGGUGUGCUUUGCACCACAGUCGAAGGGCCUCAGCUCACAGCUCUGCUGGAGUUCUCACUGAAGCAUUGAGUGGCAGAGCCUGUUCUUGCUGUAAAUCGCACAAAUCUGUUCUGUUAGAGGUGGGUGAGGAGCUGUCUGAUUGUAUACAUCUACCCAGAAACCUAACACCUCAGUCUGACAUUGGGAUUUGCUGAGUAACUGUUUAAAAUAUUUCUUACUAGUAAAAUGCACAGGUGCUCUCAGUGGGAAAUGCCAAACCUGCUUCUGGACAGUUCAGCCUUCUGGAUAGAUUCUUCUUUUCUAGCCCGAGGAAAGUAGUAGAUUUCCAAAAGCAGUUUGUAGUUUGGGUAUUUCUGGAUUUUGGGUAAGUCUUCAGCAUUGCUUAGAAUUCAUGGGCCAUUUAGAAUAUUGUGCUGAACACUCAGAGUCAUUUAAUGCAUCUUAGGGAAAAAAAUCUUGAUGUUUUGGUUCUCAAAAACCAAGUGCAGAGAGAAGAUUCACCAAUGUGUUAAAAAUACCUGGUGAGAAGAGAGUUGACUUGCAUUAGCUGUGUAUUUCCUGAAACAGGACUCAAAUGUAUUAAGAGGUUUUCUGUUGUCUCUUCCUUUGUGCUCCUUUACCUCAAAUUUCACCCCCCUGCCCCACUGCCCUGUGUUUGCAACCUGAAUUGGUGAUUUCCAUCCUCAAUUGGUGAUUGGUGUCUUUCCCUCCCUUUCAGUCUGCUGCUGUUCCUCUCUUGUGUUCUUGCAUGUGCACAGAGCAAAGUGUAUCUGCUGCUGAGCAUGGAGCCACAGCUCGCAGUGAUGAUCACUCUCCUUUCACUUUGUUUUCUUUGUUGCACGUUUUAGUUGAGCUCCUACCCAGCCUCACUUAGAGCAUGGGAGCCCUGGCCAGGUUCUGAUCAGCUGCAUGUGACAGCAUAAACGGGGCUUUGCUGCCGAUUCAAGCACUGAAAACCUGAGUGUCUUUGUGUUUUCCAAAUCCCCCUGCAUGCUUUGAGCUGCCCACUUCCAGCUGCUGCUCCCACCCUGCCUGUGGGUGAGCCUGGUCCCUCUGUGGCUCGCAGGGGAGGCCGGGGCUGCUCACGCUCGUGCUGAGCCAGGGGCUGAGGAAAGGUCACUGCUGGCUGCAUCUCCCUCGGCCUCCUCGGGCAGCAGUGAAGGGCUGCACUGCCAGCACCUCCUGGACCAAGGCCCAGAGCCAGGAGAGACCUGCAGCACAAAGAUAUGCUGCAGACUGAUGAAUUCUAUUGUAACUUGCAUGAAUUGUCCCUUGUAGCCAAACCGGACCCAUAACCUCGUUGUGAAGAGAUUUUUGUCCCUUUUAUAGACUUUGCACACUCACCCGAGCAUGUGUACAGGCAGGAUGAUGGCAGAGCAGCUGCCAAGCUUCUCUUUAGGCCUCUGCUCUCUGGGUUUCAUGAUGUUCUGGUGCCAUGUGUGAUCCUUGUCCCACCUGGAGGCCUCCUACACAGAGAGACGAGCUGCCAGAAAAUGCCGUGGCUUUGCUUGUCUCCAUCACCCAGCAGAUGUGCACUGUGACUCCAUGUAUGCAAACCUCCCUCUUUCACCUGCCAGCCUCCGCUGAGUUUCACCACCACACUCAACCAGAUUGCAAUACCAACCUUCUCCUCCUCUCCAGCCAGCCAGGAGCUGCAGCAUCUCCAUCUCUUCCCACCCGCGUUCCAGAACGAGAACACUAACCUGUCACUGCACUUCUGUGGCUGCUCACUCAAACUGUUCUUGGAAGGGGGUUUGGUGACCUUGUCCAAAGCAAUAGAGAGACUUUGGGAAUUGGGAAGCUUUUCAUUUGGUGCUAGAACUCUCCCGUGGUGCUCUCAUUGUUGUGAAGCCUUUCCUUGAGGAACACACGAGCGUGAGUGUGUGUGUGUGUGUGUGUGUGUGUGUGUGUGUGCGUGCAGAUGUACAAAAACAUUUGCAAGGUUUCUUCAUUUCAGAAGAUCUGAGCCCAUGUUUGUCUGUAUAUUGUUGGCCUUAAUCUAGCUCGUAGAUACUGUGUCUAUCUUGCUGCUCUUUUCUGUACAAAGCUGGUUUGGAGGAAGCAGAAGUUUAUCUGGUCCCCCUGUAAAAAUAUCUGUGACUGAUGAUGUUGAUCUUCAUACAGUGUUGUUCAGAGGGGAGAUUUUAUUUUUCUAAUACUUUUCCUACUGUAAAAACUGUUGGAGUGUAUGGAGUGGGAAAGAUCUUUACAAAAUGGCCUGAUAAAGAUCUGAACAUGACUUAAUAAUACCAACAAUUAAUGAUGAGGUCAAGUGAGCUUUAUUUCCAGACCUUUUCCAUUUCCUACUUUCCACUGAAAAUGUCCAGGUACUUUUUCUUUGGCUAUGGGCUUGUUAGGCAUGUUCUGAGACCUUGCAGAUACUUUAGAUGAUUUUGCUGUUCUGAAUUAGAAAGAAUUUGUAUUUUGGAGUCUGGUUCCAGUUCCACAGUCUGGGGAGUUAGGCAGAUGUGACAAAUAUUGUGCACAUAUCUAUUUGAUGGGAUAGAGGGAGUGGGUAGAACAAGUUGCUGGUUUCUGAAGAUUACCAUACCUUUUUACAUAAAACCUUAGACAUUAAAUUGGUCACUGGGGAGAAAAAAAACUCAUUCCUGGCAUAUGUAGGCCAGAUUCACUGAAUUUUAGCCUAUUUGUUCAAGCAACAGAUGAGGCCUGUGAAUGUUUGAUUCCCGCUCCCUCUUCCUGGGUGCUGGGAACAUCUGUAAAAUCUGUAAAUCCCUGCUGAACUGGCUGGGUUCCUUGUAACAGGGCAGCUGGACUGAAGGGCUUCUGUUGCCUGUGGAUGCUGCUAUAUUUUUCUUCCAAGCACCAUUCCUGGAAAUAAUGAUGGUCUUAACUUCUCUCACAGACAUUUGUUAAAAGGCUAGAAUGGGCCUAUUUGGCCCAUACUUUUUUUUUUUUUAAUAAUAUAUGUUGCAUCCAGAAAUUACCAUCACUGUGUUCUGGGCUGGGAGUAAGGUACAGAGUAUUUUUUGACUGAAUGGGUAACUAGAGAGGGUGAGGAGGACAACUUCAAGUCCUAAACCUUAUUUCCUGUGAAAGAAAGACUGUAUGUUAUGUGUGUGUACUUUGGGGAGCUGUAUCACUGUACAGUUUAGUUAAACAUGCUCCAAGGAAGGAGAAGCUGUUCCUCGGAGGUUUUUAGUUCAUGCUUCGUGUUUAAAGAGGAAUAUUUUUCUUUAAAAAAUAAAACCGGAUAAGUUUUCA
ensembl:lncRNA